CCUCUUGGGCUUGUUGGCAUGAAGAUUGUCUAGUGUGGAUGAUGGUGCGCCUUCUUACUUUCAGUGGUCCAUUUGUGUCAACCUCCAAGAUUGCUUGGCGCUUCAUCCUUGAAGGAAUUGAGCUUCGAAUAUCGCCUUUUUCUGCUAGCCUGUCGAGCUUUUCUUCCUUUAACGUUGUCUCCCUAUUUCUAAAAAACUUCAUGUUGUCUUCAAGUC
rnacentral:lncRNA from 1 species